rnacentral:rRNA from 1 species
GUCGAACGAUUAAAGCUCCCUUCGGGGAGUGCAUAGAGUGGCGCACGGGUGAGUAACACGUAAGUAAUCUACCCUCGGGUGGGGAAUAACAACCGGAAACGGUUGCUAAUACCGCAUAAUGCAGCGCCACCGCACGGUGACAGUUGUUAAAGGGGCAAUCCGCUUGGGGAGGAGCUUGCGGCAGAUUAGCUAGUUGGUAAGGUAACGGCUUACCAAGGCUACGAUCUGUAUCCGGUGUAAGAGGAUGAUCAGCCACAUUGGGACUGGGACACGGCCCAAACUCCUACGGGGGGCAGCAGUGGGGAAUAUUGGACAAUGGGCGCAAGCCUGAUCCAGCCAUGCCGCGUGAGUGAUGAAGGCCUUAGGGUUGUAAAGCUCUUUCACCGGUGAAGAUAAUGACGGUAACCGGAGAAGAAGCCCCGGCUAACUUCGUGCCAGCCGCCGCCGUAACAC